GAAAUUAUAUCGUGCUCUGUAGAAAUUUACAUUCCUGUCAAAAUACUGUUGCUUUAGUAAAUAUUUUACUUUUUCUCAUUAUUUGUUAUUGACUGUGACAGCCAGAGGCAGGGUUACCUAACUCUGUGAAAAGAGCCUGUAAUGCUGAAGAUUCCUUACCUGCAUCACCACUAAAAACAGCCAGAAGCAGAGGAUCGUCAUAUGAAUUACCCCUGAAGUCUGCAGUACCUGAUUACGUAGCUGAUUCUAAUAAACCACAGUCUCCUGUAUCUAAAAGAGGAACAAAUAAUACAUUAGCAGAUGUUGAAGCACUAUGCAAAAGUCCUGCCAUGUCUUUGGAUGCUGAGGAUGAUCAUGAGUCUCUUGGAUCACCUCUUCUUUUGGAGGAAGCAAAAAGUCCUCCAGUACAUAAAUUACACUUGGAUGACCAAAAUAAUCCUGCUGCAGUGAAGAGCCCUGUGGAAGUUGAAAAUUUGGGAGGACCUCAGACUGGGAGAGAUGAGCAGGUUGUUCUCAAGCAAGGAAUAGAACGUGUUGCUGCGUCAUCUGUACAGAAAGAGAAGGUUUUCUCUUCGAUUGUCUUAGCAGCUGUAGCAACAGGAACGCAUGGAAAAAGGUUUGUUUUGAAGCAUAAUAUAGAACAUAAUUUGCUAGUGAAAUAACCCAGUCCUGAGUACUGGAGCAGCAUCCUUUUAUCCGUGCACAUG
rnacentral:lncRNA from 1 species